rnacentral:rRNA from 1 species
AUUGCCCUAGUAACGGCGAGUGAAGCGGCAACAGCUCAAAUUUGAAAUCUGGCGUCUUUGGCGUCCGAGUUGUAAUUUGCAGAGGGCGCUUUGGUAUUGGCAGCGGUCCAAGUUCCUUGGAACAGGACGUCACAGAGGGUGAGAAUCCCGUACGUGGUCGCUAACCUUUACCGUGUAAAGCCCCUUCGACGAGUCGAGUUGUUUGGGAAUGCAGCUCUAAAUGGGAGGUAAAUUUCUUCUAAAGCUAAAUACUGGCCAGAGACCGAUAGCGCACAAGUAGAGUGAUCGAAAGAUGAAAAGCACUUUGGAAAGAGAGUUAAAAAGCACGUGAAAUUGUUGAAAGGGAAGCGCUUGCAGCCAGACUUGCCUGUAGUUGCUCAUCCGGGUUUUUACCCGGUGCACUCUUCUAUAGGCAGGCCAGCAUCAGUUUGGGCGGUUGGAUAAAGGUCUCUGUCAUGUACCUCUCUUCGGGGAGAACUUAUAGGGGAGACGACAUGCAACCAGCCUGGACUGAGGUCCGCGCAUCUGCUAGGAUGCUGGCGUAAUGGCUGUAAGCGGCCCGUCUUGAAACACGGACCAAGGAGUCUAACAUCUAUGCGAGUGUUUGGGUGUCAAGCCCGAGCGCGUAAUGAAAGUGAACGGAGGUGGGAACCUUUCGGGGUGCACCAUCGACCGAUCCUGAUGUCUUCGGAUGGAUUUGAGUAAGAGCAUAGCUGUUGGGACCCGAAAGAUGGUGAACUAUGCUUGAAUAGGGUGAAGCCAGAGGAAACUCUGGUGGAGGCUCGCAGCGGUUCUGACGUGCAAAUCGAUCGUCAAAUUUGGGCAUAGGGGCGAAAGACUAAUCGAACUAUCUAGUAGCUGGUUCCUGCCGAAGUUUCCCU